rnacentral:rRNA from 1 species
GACAGAGGUGGCAAGCGUUAUGCGGAAUCACUGGGCUUAAAGCGUGUGUAGGCGGAUCGUUAAGUACGUUGUGAAAUCCCACGGCUCAACCGUGGAACUGCUGGGUAUACUGGCGAUCUUGAGCCACCUAGGGGCGAGCGGAACAAGCGGUGGAGCGGUGAAAUGCGUAGAUAUCGCUUGGAACGCCAAUGGUGAAAACAGCUCGCUGGGGGUGUGCUGACGCUAAGACACGAAAGCCAGGGGAGCGAACAGG